rnacentral:rRNA from 1 species
GAUGAACGCUGGCGGCGUGCCUAAUACAUGCAAGUCGAGCGAACAGACGAGGAGCUUGCUCCUCUGACGUUAGCGGCGGACGGGUGAGUAACACGUGGAUAACCUACCUAUAAGACUGGGAUAACUUCGGGAAACCGGAGCUAAUACCGGAUAAUAUAUUGAACCGCAUGGUUCAAUAGUGAAAGACGGUUUUGCUGUCACUUAUAGAUGGAUCCGCGCCGCAUUAGCUAGUUGGUAAGGUAACGGCUUACCAAGGCAACGAUGCGUAGCCGACCUGAGAGGGUGAUCGGCCGCCCUGGAACUGAGACACGGUCCAGACUCCUACGGGAGGCAGCAGUAGGGAAUCUUCCGCAAUGGGCGAGAGCCUGACGGAGCAACGCCGCGUGAGUGAUGAAGGUCUUCGGAUCGUAAAACUCUGUUAUUAGGGAAGAACAAAUGCGUAAGUAACUAUGCACGUCUUGACGGUACCUAAUCAGAAAGCCACGGCUAACUACGUG